rnacentral:sRNA from 1 species
UUUAAAAUCCACACACAUAUCGACACGAAUUUCUGGGUGCCUUCGGGUUGAAAGUCGGGAUAUGUGGAGGCCUAAC